rnacentral:rRNA from 1 species
UAGCCAACCAAGUAUUAAAGGCGACGCCUGCCCAGUGAAAAUUAAACGGCCGCGGUAUCCUAACCGUGCAAAGGUAGCAUAAUCAUUUGUCUAUUAAUUGUAGACCUGUAUGAAAGGCAAAAUGAGGGCCCAACUGUCUCUUAUAACAAAUCAAUUAAACUGAUCUCCUAGUACAAAAGCUAGAAUAAUAACAUAAGACCAGAAGACCCUGUGAAGCUUUAACUAACCUAUUAAACCCAAUAAUAGCUACUUUUGGUUGGGGCGACCUUGGAAUAAAAAAGAACUUCCAACCUAUGACUCCCUCAUAAAAUUAAGGCAAACAAGCCAACACUAGACCCAGCACAGCUGACAAUUGAAACAAGUUACUCCAGGGAUAACAGCGCUAUCUUCUUUAAGAGCCCAUAUCAAAAAGAAGGUUUACGACCUCGAUGUUGGAUCAGGACACCCCAGUAAUGCAACCGUUACUAAAGGUUCGUUUGUUCAACGAUUAAUAGUCCUACGUGAUCUGAGUUCAGACCGGAGCAAUCCAG